rnacentral:rRNA from 1 species
UUUAUGGAGAGUUUGAUCCUGGCUCAGAGUGAACGCUGGCGGCGUGCCUAAUACAUGCAAGUCGAACGAUGAAGCUUCUAGCUUGCUAGAAUGCUGAUUAGUGGCGCACGGGUGAGUAACGCAUAGGUCAUGUGCCUCUUAGUUUGGGAUAGCCAUUGGAAACGAUGAUUAAUACCAGAUACUCCCUACGGGGGAAAGAUUUAUCGCUAAGAGAUCAGCCUAUGUCCUAUCAGCUUGUUGGUAAGGUAAUGGCUUACCAAGGCUAUGACGGGUAUCCGGCCUGAGAGGGUGAACGGACACACUGGAACUGAGACACGGUCCAGACUCCUACGGGAGGCAGCAGUAGGGAAUAUUGCUCAAUGGGGGAAACCCUGAAGCAGCAACGCCGCGUGGAGGAUGAAGGUUUUAGGAUUGUAAACUCCUUUUGUUAGAGAAGAUAAUGACGGUAUCUAACGAAUAAGCACCGGCUAACUCCGUGCCAGCAGCCGCGGUAAUACGGAGGGUGCAAGCGUUACUCGGAAUCACUGGGCGUAAAGAGCGCGUAGGCGGGAUAGUCAGUCAGGUGUGAAAUCCUAUGGCUUAACCAUAGAACUGCAUUUGAAACUACUAUUCUAGAGUGUGGGAGAGGUAGGUGGAAUUCUUGGUGUAGGGGUAAAAUCCGUAGAGAUCAAGAGGAAUACUCAUUGCGAAGGCGACCUGCUGGAACAUUACUGACGCUGAUUGCGCGAAAGCGUGGGGAGCAAACAGGAUUAGAUACCCUGGUAGUCCACGCCCUAAACGAUGGAUGCUAGUUGUUGGAGGGCUUAGUCUCUCCAGUAAUGCAGCUAACGCAUUAAGCAUCCCGCCUGGGGAGUACGGUCGCAAGAUUAAAACUCAAAGGAAUAGACGGGGACCCGCACAAGCGGUGGAGCAUGUGGUUUAAUUCGAAGAUACACGAAGAACCUUACCUAGGCUUGACAUUGAGAGAAUCCGCUAGAAAUAGUGGAGUGUCUGGCUUGCCAGACCUUGAAAACAGGUGCUGCACGGCUGUCGUCAGCUCGUGUCGUGAGAUGUUGGGUUAAGUCCCGCAACGAGCGCAACCCCCUUUCUUAGUUGCUAACAGGUUAUGCUGAGAACUCUAAGGAUACUGCCUCCGUAAGGAGGAGGAAGGUGGGGACGACGUCAAGUCAUCAUGGCCCUUACGCCUAGGGCUACACACGUGCUACAAUGGGGUGCACAAAGAGAAGCAAUACUGCGAAGUGGAGCCAAUCUUCAAAACACCUCUCAGUUCGGAUUGUAGGCUGCAACUCGCCUGCAUGAAGCUGGAAUCGCUAGUAAUCGCAAAUCAGCCAUGUUGCGGUGAAUACGUUCCCGGGUCUUGUACUCACCGCCCGUCACACCAUGGGAGUUGUGUUUGCCUUAAGUCAGGAUGCUAAAUUGGCUACUGCCCACGGCACACACAGCGACUGGGGUGAAGUCGUAACAAGGUAACCGUAGGUGAACCUGCGGUUGGAUCACCUCCUUUCUAGA